rnacentral:rRNA from 1 species
UACGUAGGGCGCAAGCGUUGUCCGGAAUUAUUGGGCGUAAAGAGCUCGUAGGCGGCUUGUCACGUCGGGUGUGAAAUUUCGGGGCUCAACCCCGAACUUGCAGUGGGUACGGGCAGACUAGAGUGUGGUAGGGGAGACUGGAAUUCCUGGUGUAGCGGUGAAAUGCGCAGAUAUCAGGAGGAACACCGAUGGCGAAGGCAGGUCUCUGGGCCAUAACUGACGCUGAGAAGCGAAAGCUAGGGGAGCGAAUGGG